rnacentral:rRNA from 1 species
UACGGAGGGUGCAAGCGUUAAUCGGAAUUACUGGGCGUAAAGGGCGCGUAGGUGGUAACUUAAGUUGGGUGUGAAAUCCCCGGGCUCAACCUGGGAAUUGCAUCCAAAACUGGGUUGCUAGAGUAUGGUAGAGGGUAGCGGAAUUUCUGGUGUAGCGGUGAAAUGCGUAGAUAUCAGAAGGAACAUCAAUGGCGAAGGCAGCUACCUGGGCCAAUACUGACGCUGAGGCGCGAAAGCAUGGGGAGCAAACAGG